rnacentral:rRNA from 1 species
GCACGUGGCCGGGGGUGCCCUAUACAUGGCAAGUCGGAACGAACUCUGGUAUUGAUUGGUGCUUGCAUCAUGAUUUACAUUUGAGUGAGUGGCGAACUGGUGAGUAACACGUGGGAAACCUGCCCAGAAGCGGGGGAUAACACCUGGAAACAGAUGCUAAUACCGCAUAACAACUUGGACCGCAUGGUCCGAGCUUGAAAGAUGGCUUCGGCUAUCACUUUUGGAUGGUCCCGCGGCGUAUUAGCUAGAUGGUGGGGUAACGGCUCACCAUGGCAAUGAUACGUAGCCGACCUGAGAGGGUAAUCGGCCACAUUGGGACUGAGACACGGCCCAAACUCCUACGGGAGGCAGCAGUAGGGAAUCUUCCACAAUGGACGAAAGUCUGAUGGAGCAACGCCGCGUGAGUGAAGAAGGGUUUCGGCUCGUAAAACUCUGUUGUUAAAGAAGAACAUAUCUGAGAGUAACUGUUCAGGUAUUGACGGUAUUUAACCAGAAAGCCACGGCUAACUACGUGCCAGCAGCCGCGGUAAUACGUAGGUGGCAAGCGUUGUCCGGAUUUAUUGGGCGUAAAGCGAGCGCAGGCGGUUUUUUAAGUCUGAUGUGAAAGCCUUCGGCUCAACCGAAGAAGUGCAUCGGAAACUGGGAAACUUGAGUGCAGAAGAGGACAGUGGAACUCCAUGUGUAGCGGUGAAAUGCGUAGAUAUAUGGAAGAACACCAGUGGCGAAGGCGGCUGUCUGGUCUGUAACUGACGCUGAGGCUCGAAAGUAUGGGUAGCAAACAGGAUUAGAUACCCUGGUAGUCCAUACCGUAAACGAUGAAUGCUAAGUGUUGGAGGGUUUCCGCCCUUCAGUGCUGCAGCUAACGCAUUAAGCAUUCCGCCUGGGGAGUACGGCCGCAAGGCUGAAACUCAAAGGAAUUGACGGGGGCCCGCACAAGCGGUGGAGCAUGUGGUUUAAUUCGAAGCUACGCGAAGAACCUUACCAGGUCUUGACAUACUAUGCAAAUCUAAGAGAUUAGACGUUCCCUUCGGGGACAUGGAUACAGGUGGUGCAUGGUUGUCGUCAGCUCGUGUCGUGAGAUGUUGGGUUAAGUCCCGCAACGAGCGCAACCCUUAUUAUCAGUUGCCAGCAUUAAGUUGGGCACUCUGGUGAGACUGCCGGUGACAAACCGGAGGAAGGUGGGGAUGACGUCAAAUCAUCAUGCCCCUUAUGACCUGGGCUACACACGUGCUACAAUGGAUGGUACAACGAGUUGCGAACUCGCGAGAGUAAGCUAAUCUCUUAAAGCCAUUCUCAGUUCGGAUUGUAGGCUGCAACUCGCCUACAUGAAGUCGGAAUCGCUAGUAAUCGCGGAUCAGCAUGCCGCGGUGAAUACGUUCCCGGGCCUUGUACACACCGCCCGUCACACCAUGAGAGUUUGUAACACCCAAAGUCGGUGGGGUAACCUUUUAGGAACCAGCCGCCUAAGGUGGACAGAUGAUUAACGGAUG